ACGCUGGCGGCACGCCUAACACAUGCAAGUCGAACGAAGUAGCAAUACUUAGUGGCAGACGGGUGAGUAACAUGUAGGUAUCUGCCCUUUGGCCUGGAAUAACACGAGGAAACUUGUGCUAAUACCGGAUAAGUCUUUACAGAGAAAGCUUUAUGCACCAUUGGAUGAGCCUGCACUUGAUUAGUUUGUUGGUGGGGUAAUGGCCUACCAAGACUGUGAUCAAUAGCUGAUUUGAGAGGAUGAUCAGCCACAUUGGGACUGAGACACGGCCCAAACUCCUACGGGAGGCAGCAGUGGGGAAUCUUGCACAAUGGAGGAAACUCUGAUGCAGCGAUGCCGCGUGAGUGAAGAAGGCCUUUGGGUUGUAAAGCUCUUUCGUCGGGGAAGAAAAUGACUGUACCCGAAUAAGAAGGUCCGGCUAACUUCGUGCCAGCAGCCGCGGUAAUACGAAGGGACCUAGCGUAGUUCGGAAUUACUGGGCUUAAAGAGUUCGUAGGUGGUUGAAAAAGUUAGUGGUGAAAUCCCAGAGCUUAACUCUGGAACUGCCAUUAAAACUUUUCAGCUAGAGUAUGAUAGAGGAAAGCAGAAUUUCUAGUGUAGAGGUGAAAUUCGUAGAUAUUAGAAAGAAUACCCAAUUGCGAAAGGCAGCUUUCUGGGAUCAUUACUGACACUGAGGAACGAAAGCAUGGGUAGCGAAGAGGAUUAGAUACCCUCGUAGUCCAUGCCGUAAACGAUGUGUGUUAGACGUUGGAAAUUUAUUUUCAGUGUCGCAGGGAAACCGAUAAACACACCGCCUGGGGAGUACGACCGCAAGGUUAAAACUCAAAUGAAUUGACGGGGACCCGCACAAGUAGUGGAGCAUGUGGUUUAAUUCGAAGAUACGCGCAGAACCUUACCAACACUUGACAUGUUCGUCGCGACUCUAAGAGAUUGGAGUUUUCGGUUUGGCCGGACGAAACACAGGUGCUGCAUGGCUGUCGUCAGCUCGUGUCGUGAGAUGUUGGGUUAAGUCCCGCAACGAGCGCAACCCUCACUUUUAGUUGCCAUCAUUAAGUUGGGCACUCUGAAAGAACUGCCAGUGAUAAGCUGGAGGAAGGUGGGGAUGACGUCAAGUCCUCAUGGCCCUUACGUGUUGGGCUACACACGUGCUACAAUGGUAUCUACAACAGGAAGCAAGACUGCGAAGUUAAGCAAAUCCCUAAAAGAUACCUCAGUUCGGAUUGCACUCUGCAACUCGAGUGCAUGAAGCUGGAAUUACUAGUAAUCGUGGAUCAGCGUGCCACGGUGAAUGCGUUCCCGGGUCUUGUACACACCCGCCCGUCA
rnacentral:rRNA from 1 species